rnacentral:rRNA from 1 species
UACAGAGGGUGCGAGCGUUGUCCGGAAUCACUGGGCGUAAAGAGCUCGUAGGCGGCUCAUUGCGUCAACCGUGAAAACCAGCAGCUCAACUGUUGGCUUGCGGUUGAUACGGGUGGGCUGGAGUUCGGUAGGGGAGACUGGAAUUCCUGGUGUAGCGGUGAAAUGCGCAGAUAUCAGGAGGAACACCGGUGGCGAAGGCGGGUCUCUGGGCCGAUACUGACGCUGAGGAGCGAAGGCGUGGGGAGCGAACGGG